GAAUAUUCAGGAUGCAAAUUCAAGUAUCUACAAACAGAGCUGUCAUCACUGUAUAGUAAAGUUACUGAUUUAAUAAUAAUGUCUAUUUCAAAAAGGUUCUCGUAUUAUUCCAGUGUUGCUUCGUGGUGCAUUCCGGUGCGACUCAGAAAAUCGAAUUUCCUUAUACCACUUAAAAAACAAGACUAAGACACUCGUAAAGUUUGUUGAAAAGUUCAAAAGCACCGAUUUAAGGUUACACUGUGAUUAGAAAACGUACCAAGAGUAAGUAAACGUUUUUACUUUGCGUAUAUAGCGUAUAUAAAUAUGUCAACUUUAAUUUCGUAGUGUCAUUAAAUCAACCAUACUCACAAGACUCUCCCAGUCUUACCUGCAGGUAAAAUUGAACUGUUUAUCCUGAAAGGAUUUCUUCACCCCAAAGUAUAUGAUUAAGUGUACUUUUAGAAACAGAACAUUAAUAUUUUAUACCCAAAUGUGUCACACAAUCAGCUUAAACUUGCUAAAAGGGCCAGGACACACGGAAGACGUUAUGGAUCCUGUGUGAACUUUAAACAAGCAACAAUAUUUGACAAUUACGCCAUGGCUGACUACAGGCAGUCUUAAGAAGGUCAUCUCCCAAAUAAUGAUGCAGAGCCCAUGCAAAAGGGCAUUUGGUCCUGAAUGAAACCGGCACGAAGGUCAUUUGCACAGCACUGCAUUCAUCCAUCGCACAUACGACUGCAAGACAAGCAAGAUUACAAGAACGAAGUCAGCGAUGCCUUGAGGGGGAACAAUUACCAACUUACUAGCAGCCACAUUCAUGAGUUCUCUAUCACCUCCAGGGUCCACAGAGAAAUCUGCGCUCCAAUUUACAGCUACCCCAAGAAUGUAAGCCCGCCUGUCCCGAAUGGAGCUCUUUGUUACCUUUUCAUGAAUUUGAAAGGAAACGGGAUCGCUUCACAGAAUCAUCACAAGGCUAAAAACUGAGUGGUUCUUCUCCCAUGUCCUCCAGUUUCAAUUUACACCAAUUAAUUCUUAAGCUUCUCAAUAGAAUUCAUGCAUGUUAGAG